rnacentral:misc_RNA from 1 species
GAUGAAGAACGUAGCGAAAUGCGAUAAGUAAUGUGAAUUGCAGAAUUCAGUGAAUCAUCGAAUCUUUGAACGCACCUUGCACCCUUUGGCAUUCCGAAGGGUAUGCUCGUUUGAGUGUCAUUGUACUCUCACACUCUCCGAUCCUAUGGAUUCGGGGAGCGGUGGACUUGGGUGUUGCUGCCUUUCCUUGUGGCUCACCUCAAAUGUGUCAGUGCACCUCUUGGUUGGACAUAGUACGGCGUGAUAAGUGUCUUCGCCGGCACCUCGCAAGAGGGUGGCCGAUCGGGAGCUCUGUGCUUUCAAACCGUCUUCGGACAAUUUCUGACAACUUGACCUCAAAUCGAGUAGGACUACCCGCUGAACUUAAGCAUAUAAAUAAGCGGAGGA